rnacentral:rRNA from 1 species
GAGUUUGAUCAUGGCUCAGAUUGAACGCUGGCGGCAUGCCUUACACAUGCAAGUCGAACGACGCUAGGGGCAACUCUAGCGAGUGGCGAACGGGUGAGUAAUACAUCGGAACGUGUCCUGUCGUGGGGGAUAACCAGUCGAAAGAUUGGCUAAUACCGCAUGACCUCGCAAGAGAAGAGCGGAGGACCGCAAGGCUUCGCGCGAUUGGAGCGGCCGAUGUCGGAUUAGCUAGUUGGCGGGGUAAAAGCCCACCAAGGCGACGAUCCGUAGCUGGUUUGAGAGAACGACCAGCCACACUGGGACUGAGACACGGCCCAGACUCCUACGGGAGGCAGCAGUGGGGAAUUUUGGACAAUGGGGGCAACCCUGAUCCAGCCAUGCCGCGUGUGUGAAGAAGGCCUUCGGUUGUAAG